rnacentral:tRNA from 2 species
GGGAUAGCUCAGUUGGUAGAGCAGAGGACUGAAAAUCCUCGUG